rnacentral:rRNA from 1 species
AGUGAACGCUGGCGGUAGGCCUAACACAUGCAAGUCGAACGGCAGCACAGUAAGAGCUUGCUCUUACGGGUGGCGAGUGGCGGACGGGUGAGGAAUACAUCGGAAUCUACUUUUUCGUGGGGGAUAACGUAGGGAAACUUACGCUAAUACCGCAUACGACCUACGGGUGAAAGCAGGGGAUCUUCGGACCUUGCGCGAUUGAAUGAGCCGAUGUCGGAUUAGCUAGUUGGCGGGGUAAAGGCCCCCCAAGGCGACGAUCCGUAGCUGGUCUGAGAGGAUGAUCAGCCACACUGGAACUGAGACACGGUCCAGACUCCUACGGGAGGCAGCAGUGGGGAAUAUUGGACAAAGGGCGCAAGCCUGAUCCAGCCAUACCGCAUGGGUGAAGAAGGCCUUCGGGUUGUAAAGCCCUUUUGUUGGGAAAGAAAAGCAGCAGGUUAAUACCCCGCUGUUCUGACGGUACCCAAAGAAUAAGCACCGGCUAACUUCGUG